rnacentral:hammerhead_ribozyme from 1 species
AUCCAACUGAAGAGUCCUAAAUAAAACGAAACGCGCAUUCUGGAU